rnacentral:misc_RNA from 1 species
GUGAAUCAUCGAAUUUUUGAACGCAAAUUGCGCCUUUUUCGGAAGGCAUGUCUGUUUGAGGGCACCAUUUAACAAAUAAGGUGCAGUUCGUGUGCACACGUUGAUGAGCUUUCCAAAUUUAUGUAUUAUUAUUUUUGUUGGCUCAUAAUAAACAACGCGAUGCUUUUGUUCAUUUCGAGGGUAGUAAAAUUUUUUCUUGCUUGGGUUUUGGAAUGCGGGAUCGCACAAGUGGUGAUGGCGAU